rnacentral:rRNA from 1 species
CCUACGGGGGGCAGCAGUCGAGAAUCAUUCACAAUGGGGGAAACCCUGAUGGUGCGACGCCGCGUGGGGGAAUGAAGGUCUUCGGAUUGUAAACCCCUGUCAUGUGGGAGCAAAUUAAAAAGAUAGUACCACAAGAGGAAGAGACGGCUAACUCUGUGCCAGCAGCCGCGGUAAUACAGAGGUCUCAAGCGUUGUUCGGAAUCACUGGGCGUAAGGCGUGCGUAGGCUGUUUCGUAAGUCGUGUGUGAAAGGCGCGGGCUCAACCCGCGGACGGCACAUGAUACUGCGAGACUAGAGUAAUGGAGGGGGAACCGGAAUGCUCGGUGUAGCAGUGAAAUGCGUAGAUAUCGAGAGGAACACUCGUGGCGAAGGCGGGUUCCUGGACAUUAACUGACGCUGAGGCACGAAGGCCAGGGGAGCGAAAGGGAUUAGAUACCCCUGUAGUC